GAUGAACGCUGGCGGCGUGCCUAAUACAUGCAAGUCGAGCGAACAGACGAGGAGCUUGCUCCUCUGACGUUAGCGGCGGACGGGUGAGUAACACGUGGAUAACCUACCUAUAAGACUGGGAUAACUUCGGGAAACCGGAGCUAAUACCGGAUAAUAUAUUGAACCGCAUGGUUCAAUAGUGAAAGACGGUUUUGCUGUCACUUAUAGAUGGAUCCGCGCCGCAUUAGCUAGUUGGUAAGGUAACGGCUUACCAAGGCAACGAUGCGUAGCCGACCUGAGAGGGGGAUCGGCCACACUGGAACUGAGACACGGUCCAGACUCCUACGGGAGGCAGCAGUAGGGAAUCUUCCGCAAUGGGCGAAAGCCAGACGGAGCAACGCCGCGUGAGUGAUGAAGGUCUUCGGAUCGUAAAACUCUGUUAUUAGGGAAGAACAAAUGUGUAAGUAACUAUGCACGUCUUGACGGUACCUAAUCAGAAAGCCACGGCUAACUACGUG
rnacentral:rRNA from 1 species